AGAACGAACGCUGGCGGCAUGCCUAACACAUGCAAGUCGAACGCUUCCGGGGCUUCGGUCGCGGAGGAGUGGCGCACGGGUGAGUAGCGCGUGGGAACCUGCCCUGUUGUGGGGGAUAACCGCGGGAAACUGCGGCUAAUACCCUAUGAGUCCUUCGGGAGAAAGAUUUAUCGCCAUAGGAGGGGCCCGCGUCGGAUUAGGUAGUUGGUGGGGUAACGGCCUACCAAGCCUUCGAUCCGUAGCUGGUCUGAGAGGAUGAUCAGCCACACUGGGACUGAGACACGGCCCAGACUCCUACGGGAGGCAGCAGUGGGGAAUAUUGGACAAUGGGCGCAAGCCUGAUCCAGCAAUGCCGCGUGAGUGAUGAAGGCCUUAGGGUUGUAAAGCUCUUUCGCCCGCGACGAUGAUGACGGUAGCGGGAGAAGAAGCCCCGGCUAACUUCGUGCCAGCAGCCGC
rnacentral:rRNA from 1 species